rnacentral:lncRNA from 1 species
GAAAACCUUGGAAUUCGAUGCCGGGUGAAUGGAGUACCAAAGCAGAAUGGUAAUACUUCAAUGCUUGUACACAGUGUGGAGAAACUUAUUGUCUUCAUAUCUCGGUUUGUCACUUUGAAGCCUGGAGAUGUAAUUCUAACUGGAACCCCUCUCGGAGUUGGUGUCUUCAGAACCCCUCCAGAAUUUUUAAAGCCUGGUGACGUCGUAGAAUGCGAAAUUGAUGAAAUUGGGACUAUACGCAAUGAAAUUGUUUAACAGAUGGUACCAAGAAGCUGAUGAUUAGAUUUUCAAAAAACUCUUCCUAUUUUCAUAAUUAUUUUUGUUAUUGUUAUAACAAAUUGAUCAUUCAAAGUACAAAUGAAGUAUUGGACUCGAUUUAAUUGGUUAACCCUUCCCUCUGUCCCUACAAUUUGCAGGCCUUUUGCAUAUACUAGAAACAAUUAUUAUUAGUAUUAUUAUUAUUGUAUUUUGAGAGUUUCUCCGUUUCUUUUAGAGAUACAUUGUAAUCUGUUAAGACUGAUACAUUGAUUAGAAGGCAUAUUUUUUUUAAUGGUGAUCUCUGACAACUACAACUGGCCUAUUAUUAUCAUCACCAUCAUCAUCAUCAUCAUU